UCUUGGCUGACACCAGGGAAGCAAUUUCUGGUUUUGAUUAGCUGCCUACUAUGACUUUCAGGCUGGUUGCUUUAGGAUGACCUCUACUUAAAUUGUGAGGAAAUGGAGUUGAUUUUCAGCUGCCUCCCUGUUGACUGGUGCUCUGGACUCUGCACUUCUCACGGAUGGCAGUGCAGCGCAUCCUGUGGUUAAGGUGCGGGACCUUGCCAUUGUUUGUGGUUCCGAAUUUGUUUUAAGUUAUCUUUCUAUUUUGGCUGGGUGAAUUUGGGCCUGACAUUUGUAGGUUUUUAGUGAGGUUAAUAGGAAGGGUGAAUUUGGUCAGUUGUGCCUCCAUAAGUCUGAGAGUAGUGUAACAUGGAGGUAGGAAUUUGAAAACAGGAAUAGUGAAAUCCAGUUGGGAACAGAUCUGUAGUUUCUGCUGAGAGAAGGGUCCUCUCAGUCAGCUGCUGUAUUCCCAAAGCAAAGUAGGCCUGGUACUGAGUCAGCAUUUGAACUCUUUAAAUAUUGUUGGAAGUAAGAAGAUUCAUUCGUUACCUUAUGCUUUGUUUUCUUUUGCCCUACAGGCAAUCCCGAAUGGUGAUCUUGCUUGCAUUCAGCUGGAGGGUGGGACUGACAAAGAAAUCUGUAUGAAUGGAGAAAACCAUCAAUGCUUGGAGAAUUCCUUCUACAUCAAGAUGUAAAUCCUUCUGCCGCCUUUGGAUGCUUCACUUAAAUGACUCUAAUCUAGUUCUGUCAGUCAAGUAGAUUGUCCACGAUCAUCUCUGGUAAGAAAAUAAUAUAUAUUUUUUGUAAGUACGUUUUAUGAAGUAGAUAUUUUUUUUAUUGAGAUGUACUCAGUAUAGAAAGUAAACCUGUGUCGUCAUAGGA
rnacentral:lncRNA from 1 species